ACUUUACUAGUCAAGCCGCGGAGUGGGCGGGGCCUCCUGCCCAGACUUGAAGCCACACAGGCAGGUCGGGCAGGCGGGUCCCAGGUUGUAAAUCCAUGUGGCGGGGGCUUUGGACCCUGGCGGCCCAAGCGGCACGUGGGCCUCGCAGAUUGUGCACGCGCCGGAGCAGCGGCGCACCAGCCCCCGGCUCCGGCGCCACCAUCUUCGCGCUAAGCUCUGGCCAAGGCCGCUGCGGCAUCGCAGUGAUCCGGACCAGCGGCCCUGCCAGCGGCCACGCCCUCCGAAUUCUCACGGCACCCCGAGACCUGCCCCUUGCUCGCCACGCCAGCCUGCGCCUGCUCAGCGAUCCCCGCUCCGGGGAGCCUCUGGACCGCGCACUGGUGCUCUGGUUCCCAGGUGAGGGUCCCCAGUAGGUGAGCCUCCUGUAGGUCCCAUGACUCAGUUUCCCCCUUCCAAAGGUUUGCACUAGCUGUGCUGUCCUCCUGACUGUCAGCUGUCUGUCACAUUAGGUCCCCAGAGUUUCACCGGUGAGGACUGCGUGGAGUUCCACGUUCAUGGAGGCCCGGCAGUGGUGAGCGGCGUCCUGCAGGCCUUGG
rnacentral:sRNA from 1 species